rnacentral:rRNA from 1 species
UAUGUGAUCGUCUCUCGCAUAUCAAUAAGCGGAGGAAAAGAAACUAACAAGGAUUCCCCUAGUAACGGCGAGUGAAGCGGGAAGAGCUCAAAUUUGAAAUCUUAAAGGGUUUCCCUUUACGAAUUGUAGUUUAAAGAAGUGUUUUCUGUUGAGGUUUUGGUAAAAGUUCUUUGGGAUAGGACAUCAUAGAGGGUGAGAAUCCCGUAUUUGACCUUUACUUUCAACUUUGUGAUACACUUUCAAAGAGUCGGAUUGUUUGGGAAUGCAGUCCAAAAUGGGUGGUAAAUUUCAUCUAAAGCUAGAUAUUGGCGAGAGACCGAUAGCGAACAAGUACCGUGAGGGAAAGAUGAAAAGAACUUUGAAAAGAGAGUUAAACAGUACGUGAAAUUGUCAAAAGGGAAGCGUUUGACACCAGUGUUGUUUUUCUGAAAAUCAAUUAAAGAACUGUUUAUGCUAAGUUGUUUAGACUUUAUCAGCUAUCUGCUUAGUUUUGAGCUUUUCUUUAAUGCACUUUUCAGUUAACAAGUCAACAUCAAUUUCUUUUGCUGUAAAAAAGCUUGAGGAAGGUGGCUUGAGAUUCGUCUUAAGUGUUUAUAGCCUCUUGCCUAUGCAGUCGGAGAGAUUGAGGUCUGCAGCGUAGAUCCUUCGGGGCUAAAUGCAUUUGUGCUAAGUUAUAGCAUUUUAUAGACAACUUGUUGACUAUGAUUUGUCUUGUAGCUUACUCGCUUAUGUUAUUUUACCUACGCUUAGGAUGUUGAAGAUAUGCGCGACACG